rnacentral:rRNA from 1 species
GACGAACGCUGGCGGCGUGCUUAACACAUGCAAGUCGAGCGGAAAGGCCCUUCGGGGUACUCGAGCGGCGAACGGGUGAGUAACACGUGAGUAACCUGCCCCAGACUUUGGGAUAACCCUCGGAAACGGGGGCUAAUACCGGAUACGACACAGCUUCGCAUGGGGUCUGUGUGGAAAGUUUUUCGGUUUGGGAUGGGCUCGCGGCCUAUCAGCUUGUUGGUGGGGUGAUGGCCUACCAAGGCGACGACGGGUAGCCGGCCUGAGAGGGCGACCGGCCACACUGGGACUCAGACACGGCCCAGACUCCUACGGGAGGCAGCAGUGGGGAAUAUUGCACAAUGGGCGGAAGCCUGAUGCAGCGACGCCGCGUGAGGGAUGACGGCCUUCGGGUUGUAAACCUCUUUCAGCAGGGACGAAGCGUAAGUGACGGUACCUGCAGAAGAAGCGCCGGCCAACUACGUG